CUUGUAUUUCUUGACUUGAUCUUCUUCAUUCUUUCUGUCACAUUUUAGUUAAUUCUUUCACCAGUCCUCACUGAGAUAUUGCAAUAAUUUCCAAGAGGACCCUUUUGUCUGAAGAUUUUGCCCCCUUCAAAUUAUCUCUAAGAAGGAUCUCCUGUUUUUAUCCCAGUGCUAAGCCUCCAAUGGUGCUUCACUUCUUCCGGAAGAUGCACAGCUCAGCAGGCCACACAGGGCUCAGCAGGUCACAGCCACAGAUUCUCACAGGCAAAGACGAGAGGAUGGAUAAACAAGGGUUUGCCAAGGAGAAGAUGCCAGUGUCACACUUUCUCCCUCAGUGUGUUCAGAUGGGAUUGGAAAGUCUCCCUGGCCACACAGGUAAGAAUUCUGUUGCUAAUCUUCUGCACACCCAGCCUCUAUUCUCCCUCACUCACCCACGCUUAGGUUUAUCCAAGCCAGCCAAGUGGCCAGGUAGAUAAUUAUAUUUCUUAAAUUCUUUUGAAGUUAUGCCUGCCUACUUAACACAUCUCUGGAAGAAGGCAUACUGAGAUUUCUGAGAAAACCUUGCUUUCCAUACAUGGAUGUUGCCUUGUCUUUUACUGUAUCUCCUUCCCUUCUUUGACAAGUUGUCAAAGCAUGGUGGAUGAUACAGUGGUUAAAAGAUGCUGCAGUAUGAGUUGAUAAAAUGAUAUCACAAUAAACUGUAUGCAUAGUUCUUGUUACAAAAAAAAAAGUCAUCAGAUUUGCUUAAUUUACUGUUGCUUUUCACGGUCAAAAACAGUCUUUGACAUAAAACAAGUCGAUAAUAGAUAUUGCCUUUGACUAAGAAAAAAGACAUGUAAUACUCCAGUUGAUAAAAUAUUUGGAGAUGCAUUUAGCAACUUUUAGUUUUACUAGUAGCCUAGUUACUAUCUUGGGGACCCACCAAUCAGCUGAUAAUGUGUGUGAAAUAUGAAGAAGUAUAUUGACAAAACACACCAAUGAUUGAUUUUGGCCCAACAACAAACUAAUAGCACUUUGAAAACAGGGUAUCAAGAGUCAAUAAUGAGGGUCUUUUUGACAAAAGCUAGACGUUGUAUCAGUGUAAACAUUUACCAUCCCUUCUAUGAAUAGACGGACACAGAAUCGCAAUAAAACCUGGAUUCACUAUGACUCAACCAAUCAGAUCACUCAGUUUUGGGGAAUACACUUUUUGAAGAAAAUUUGAAACUGCUGGCUGUAAUAAGUAUUUAACCAGUAGUUUCAAAGCUUUUGGUGUGUAUCACCCUAUCUUCAGAAAGCAAAGAGUGUAACCAUCUGAACUAAAAGAAAAUAAAGUCACUAAGCAUUUUGCACGGGAAGCAUGCCGCUGGGUGCCAAGUGUGAGUGUGUGAAGCACUCUACAGCAGAGGGACAAUGUUAAGUCCACUUUUAAAAACCAGGUACAGUGUCAUCAGGAGAAAGGGCAAUUCCAUGCUGCUAAAUGCAAUCAAAUCAAAACCCAAGAACACGUAGCAAGAAGAUCUGAAACCUGAAGACCAGUCCAUUAGGCGCUUCGGGCAUCGCCUCUACUCACACACCAAGUGUGAGUAGAGGUGCCUGGUUCGUAUCUUCAGAAACUCUCUUUCUUAGGACUACAAUGUGUUUUCUCAGUUUGCCAAAGGAUGCUGUCUGCCUGCAGGUGCACGGUGGGUCCAACUCUGACCCCUGACGCUGCCUUUUCUAGGGUGUCUCCUCUGCUCCAAGGGUUGGACAAAUGGGAACUUGUUUCUGGAGAUCCCUUGCCAGUUGGGUUUGUUUAUAACCCACCAGUGAGAAGCUUUGAAGCUAUUUCAAAGACGAAAGAGAACCAGAAGUCACUCUCUGACUACCCCAAAAGCACAGGAGGAAUGGCCAAGAUUCAGCAGACAGGAGAAUGUGGAGCAAGUUGGGGCUUCCCCACAGGGCUUGGAUGAUCUCUGCUGCUCUCCUGUGACUUCCGUAAUUUCCUGGUGCUCUGCAAGUGAUCAGCCAGCAUAAGGUGAUGCCCUGGAAUUCCCCAACUCUUUUAUUGCUUUUGUGGGCACCACAUUUCCUGUGUCAGAGUCUCUCCUGCUCAAGAUACCAAAAGUGACACCACCCUAAGAUAUGGAAACACAGACCCUGAACUACCUUGAAUACCCUCAAAAUGACCAAGUGUUGAGUGUUUCAUUUACUCAGUGAAAUUCCUUCCCUUAAGUCUACUACAUCAUUAAUUUUUAGUAAAUUUCUCAUUGUUAGAUAAUGAUAAUUAAAUCCACCAUAUAAGCAAUAGAGAAAAUUAAUUUCAUUAUAAUUUAGAAUCAUAUUAACAGAAAAUAAAAAAUGCAUGGACCUUCCAUGGAUCCAAUCCUAGUCAUCAUUUUAGCAACUGUCCAUAAAGAGGUACUUGUGAUAUCAUUCUACCCAUAUGUGCCUUACUUAGUUUUUUGGGGAGGAGAUCAUGGAUAAAAUGUGCUAUUUUAGAAAUUAGAAGGUCCAACAAGAAUAUAAUUAUCCAUUUAAAUGGCUCAUUUAAUAACUUAACUCCAGUAGAGGUCCUUCAAGACAUUUCUCUUCACUUCCUUAUUUUGCUCCAAAAAAAGUCUGGCUUAGGACAGGUUCCUGAGAAGCAGAGUUUGACAUGAAGGUGCUUGUGUAAAGGCUACAUUGAGGAGUGCAGCCUGCAGAGACCAAUGAGAAACCAAAAAAGCAGGACAAGGAAGGGGAAGAAAAUACCCAGUGUGUCGUAGACUGCAGCCUGGCUCAGCUGGCUCCUACGGGGAGCCCUGUGGUGUGCACAGUGUCCCAGAGCCUUUCCACCUUGAGACCAGGGGACUUUCAGACCUUCUUGUCAGUUUGCUAUAGGCUGUAGGGUGCCCCUAAUUGGAAAUGGACACAAUCUCCCAAGCAUUUCUCAGGAGUCAGCCCAAGCCAGAAUGAGGGCAAAUGUCUGGGAAAUUUUUUUUUAAAGCAGCUGUGAGUGGGUGGUACUCAAAACUCACAACAGCUGAGGGCUGGAGUUACAGUCCCUUGAAAGGAAUCAAGGCAAGUCACUAUAACGUUAAGCCACUAUCAGAGUCAUUGACUGCUGUUUUUGAAGAUUGUGUGUGUUUCUAUGGCCUAAGUGUCAAAAGGAGAUAAAAGAGAUGAACUCAUAGCUGUUUCUGAUUCUUCUUCCUCCAUCCAUCCUAUUUAUUACUGAGUAUUUGAUGCCUCCACUUUACUUAGUUUUUCUCCUCCCAUGUCUUUAUGUAAGUGUAAGGAAAUGCAAAUACACAGCCGCAUGCAUCCUUCCCUUUCCUUCUGUGCAGGAUCCACGACAGCAUAGCGUGUCGGAGUUCACUGCUUACUGUUCUAAUGCAGUGCCAGCCUAUCUGCGUUGCCAUAAAGGAAUAUCUAAGACUGAGUGAUCGAUGAAGAACACAGGUUUGUUUUGGCUCAUGGUUCUGCAGGCUGUAUAGAAAGAACAGUGCUGGUAUCUGCUACUGGUGAAGCCUUAGGAGGAUUCCAGUCAUGGCAGGAGGCAAAGGGAGAGCCAGCAAGUCCCAUGGUGAGAAAAAGCAAGAUAGGGAGUGAGGGAGAGCCAGGCUCCUUUAAACAACCAGGGCUUGCAUAGACUUGUAGAGUGAGAACUCACUCAUUUCCACGGAGUGGAUGCCAAGCCAUUCAUGGGGAAUCCACCCAUACGACUAAAUGCCUCCCGUCAGGCCCCACCUCCAACACUGGAGAUCACUUUUCAACAUGAGAUUUGGAGGGGAAAGAUAUCCAAACAAUGUCAUAUGCUUUGCUUUUCUCACUUGCAACUAUAUUCUAGAAGUCUUUCCAUGUCAGUACACAGAGACUAUCCCCAUUAUUUCAGUUGUGCUGAGGAAGCAUCAUUGACUGAGAUAGCCAUUUCUCACUAGACUCUCACUGUGGAGACAUUAACUCAUCCAUGUUCGUAAAACUCCAUUCACAUGGACACACCGUGUGUUGGUGCUGCUUCAUCAGACAUCGUGUUAGCAAAGCAGCCA
rnacentral:lncRNA from 1 species